UUUAGUUGCCAAAUCGCCAUUUACUCCAGGCUGCAUAUUUUUACUUCUUGUAUAUAUUCGGCCCUUUUAAAAUUUUAUCAAAUAACCAGGACAAAAUGACAAACCGGCCGGGACGCAGGGACACUUCAUCAAACCAUAACAGUUCCGGUCAAAACGAGACGUCCGAUUUUAAAUUUUAUGAAAACUGUAUCUACAAUUAAACUUGGAAUACGUAUGUGGAAUGUUGUUUUAACAAAGACUGUGUUAUUACAGGUCAUAAGUUUCUCUUGCUCUUCGAUAACAUUUCUUCUUCAAUGGC